UACGUAGGUGGCUAGCGUUGUCCGGAUUUACUGGGCGUAACGAGCGCGCAGGCGGUCGUUCAAGUCGAGUGUGAAAGCCCUCGGCUCACCCGAGGAUCUGCAUCUCAAACUGCCUGGCUUGAGUAUGGGAGAGGAUGAGGGAAUUCCUGGUGUAGCGGUGAAAUGCGUAGAUAUCAGGAGGAACACCGGUGGCGAAGGCGCUCAUCUGGCCCAAUACUGACGCUGAGGCGCGAAAGCCAGGGGAGCAAACGGG
rnacentral:rRNA from 1 species